CAGAGGUUGCAGUGAGCUGAGAUCUUGCCACUGCACUCCAGCCUGGGUGACAGAGCAAGACUCCAUCUCAAAAUAUAUAUAUAUAUAUAUAUAUUUAAGAGUCUAGCUUCUUGUGUUGGAAUACCUUUGUUCAUGGAUUACAUAAAAACAAGUAGUACCUAGAAGAGUACAGAUCACAGAAGGUAAGCUGGUAAAAAGCAGGAAAGAGUACAGUGGAUAUUUGAUAAUUACUUGAGGAAGAUAAAUGUAAUGUGUCCACAUAAAAGGGUGGUGAAUUGGAUUAUGUGCAUCUGAGGAUGGUUAGAUAAUUUGUAUAAUAUUUUUACAUUUCUUAUGUCAACCUUACAGCCCAUGGAGGGGAAGGCAAAUAUUCCCAUUUUAGAGAUGGUCUUCAUACUGGCCAAUAGUGACUUCCCGAACUGCCCAGUGGGUUUCCUGUCUUGCUGUCUGGCUUGAACUUUGCUGUGGCUAAUUAAUGCUUUCUGGGAACUAUUUUCCCCCCUUUGAUUUCAGUGACCUUGUUUUCUUCUGGUUAUCCUCCUACCUCUUCAACUAUUCUUUUCAGUUUCUUUACUGUGUCCUCUGCUACAAUUCACACUUCAAUGUUUGUGUUUUCAAAGUUUCCAUUUUUGGGUCUCCAUCAUGUUCUCCCAGAGCAAUUUUCAAAUAUCGCCUAUGUGCUGAUGACCACAGAUUUAUACAUCCCUGCUUUAAAUUUAUCCUACACUUUAGACCGAUAUUUUCAAAUGCAUAUCUUUAAUUGACUAUACUGCAUGCUCCUCAAAUUCAGUAUGUUCAAAUCUAAAGUAAUUAUGUUGCAGUACACAACCUCUGGUAGUCUCCUUAGCUAAAGAUGAUAGUGUCCAAAAAGCCUCCCAAACUAGGAAGCUUAAGAGAUAUGUUCAUCACCUUUCUCUAAUUGUCUGCAUCUGUUUUCACCCCAUCUUCAAGAACUUAUACUCACCAAUGUCUCUUGAAACUAUUUUUCCAUUUGCCAUUGCACAAUUUUAGAUUCUAUCAUUAAAUCGGUUUAGAAGAUUUAAAAAUAAUUAAGGGGGUAGAACUGAAAGUAAUUUUUUUUUCCAAGUUUAGUUUUCUUCCUGUUUUUUUGUUUUUGUUGAGACAAGGUCUCACUUUGUCACCUAGGCUGGAAUGGAGUGGCACAAUCUUGGCUCAUUGCGACCUCUACCUCUUGGGUUCAAGCAGUUCUGACUCAGCCUGUCGAGUGCACACAGGUGUGCACAACCAUGCCUGGUUAAUUUUUGUAUUUUUAGUAGACACAGGGCUUCGCCAUGUUGGCCAGGGUGGUCUCUAACUCCUGGGCUCAGGUGAUCUACCUGCCUCCCAAAGUGCUGGGAUUACUGGCAUGAGCCACUGUACCCGGCCGUCUUCCUAAUUUAAAACAAUGCAUGCUCAAAAAGAAAAUGAGUAAAAUACAGAUAAGUGCAAUGCAAAAAAUAAAAACCA
rnacentral:lncRNA from 1 species